rnacentral:rRNA from 1 species
GACGAACGCUGGCGGCGUGCUAACACAUGCAAGUCGAACGGAAAGGCCCUGCUUUUGUGGGGUGCUCGAGUGGCGAACGGGUGAGUAACACGUGAGUAACCUGCCCUUGACUUUGGGAUAACUUCAGGAAACUGGGGCUAAUACCGGAUAGGAGCUCCUGCUGCAUGGUGGGGGUUGGAAAGUUUCGGCGGUUGGGGAUGGACUCGCGGCUUAUCAGCUUGUUGGUGGGGUAGUGGCUUACCAAGGCUUUGACGGGUAGCCGGCCUGAGAGGGUGACCGGCCACAUUGGGACUGAGAUACGGCCCAGACUCCUACGGGAGGCAGCAGUGGGGAAUAUUGCACAAUGGGCGGAAGCCUGAUGCAGCAACGCCGCGUGCGGGAUGACGGCCUUCGGGUUGUAAACCGCUUUCGCCUGUGACGAAGCGUGAGUGACGGUAAUGGGUAAAGAAGCACCGGCUAACUACGUG